AAAAAUAUUUAUCUUUAUUUUGAACUAGUAGUUUAAUAAAGAAUGCUUGAUUGUUAAUCAAAUGG
rnacentral:tRNA from 1 species